UACAGAGGCCUCGAGCGUUAUGCGGAAUCACUGGGCUUAAAGCGUGUGUAGGCGGACUUCUAAGUACCUUGUGAAAUCCCACGGCUCACCCGUGGAACUGCUCGGUAUACUGGUCGUCUUGAGCCUUCUAGGGGCGAGUGGAACAAAUGGUGGAGCGGUGAAAUGCGUAGAUAUCAUUUGGAACGCCAAUGGUGAAAACAACUCGCUGGGGAAGUGCUGACGCUGAGACACGAAAGCCAGGGGAGCGAACGGG
rnacentral:rRNA from 1 species